UACACACCGCCCGUCACGCCAUGGGAGUUGGUUCUACCUGAAGCCGGUGCGCUAACCGCAAGGAGGCAGCCGACCACGGUAGGGUCAGCGACUGGGGCG
rnacentral:rRNA from 1 species